rnacentral:rRNA from 1 species
AGGGCAAGUCUGGUGCCAGCAGCCGCGGUAAUUCCAGCUCCAAUAGCGUAUGCUAAAGUUGUUGCAGUUAAAAGCUCGUAGUCGGUAUUUUUGUUGCCCGCUUUGAAGGUCGUCGCUGUGCGGGGAUCAACUCCUCGUCGGUACGAUCAGCGUCGGCAAUAUCAUUUUUGGUAAAUCUCUGGCUGCUCAUUCAUUUGGGCAGGUAUAAAAGGCGCUUGGGGUCAAACUCAGGUGUCGGGGUUACCAAUCUUUUACUGUGAAGAAACUUGAGUGUUCAAAGCAAGCAUUCUUAUGCCUGAAAAAUUCAGCAUGGGAUAAUGAAAUAGGCUUACGCGUCUAUUUUUGCCGGUUUUCGGACUUUUUGCGUGAGAAUGGUCGAUAGGGGCGGUCGGGGACACUCGUACCCCAGCGGUCAGAGGUGAAAUUCUUGGAUUCGCGGGAGACGGAACUUAUGCGAAAG